CCUACGGGUGGCUGCAGUGAGGAAUAUUGGUCAAUGGACGAGAGUCUGAACCAGCCAAGUAGCGUGAAGGAUGACUGCCCUAUGGGUUGUAAACUUCUUUUAUAAAGGAAUAAAACGAGGCACGUGUGCCUUUUUGUAUGUACUUUAUGAAUAAGGAUCGGCUAAUUCCGUGCCAGCAGCCGCGGUAAUACGGAGGAUCCGAGCGUUAUCCGGAUUUAUUGGGUUUAAAGGGAGCGUAGAUGGGUUGUUAAGUCAGUUGUGAAAGUUUGCGGCUCAACCGUAAAAUUGCAAUUGAUACUGGCAGUCUUGAGUACAGUUGAGGUAGGCGGAAUUCGUGGUGUAGCGGUGAAAUGCUUAGAUAUCACGAAGAACCCCGAUUGCGAAGGCAGCUUACUAAACUGUGACUGACAUUGAUGCUCGAAAGUGUGGGUAUCAAACAGGAUUAGAUACCCCAGUAGUC
rnacentral:rRNA from 1 species